UAGCUCCUACGGGGGGCAGCAGUAGGGAAUUUUCGUCAAUGGGCGCAAGCCUGAACGAGCAAUGCCGCGUGCGGGAUGGAGGCCUUCGGGGUGUAAACCGCUUUUGUUCAAGGGCAAGGCACGGUCUUUGGCCGUGUUGAGUGGAUUGUUCGAAUAAGCACCGGCUAACUACGUGCCAGCAGCCGCGGUAAUACGUAGGGUGCAAGCGUUAUCCGGAAUUAUUGGGCGUAAAGGGAUCGUAGGCGGUUCGUCGCGUCCGGUGUGAAAGGCCAUCGCUUAACGGUGGAU
rnacentral:rRNA from 1 species